GGGGCCCUUAGAGACAUUGCAGGUGUGGCUUCUGUGUCACAUAUACAUCAGUAGGUAGCAGAGAGGAGAGAGACUAUGUCUACACUCAGUGUUCUGACGUAUGAACAUCUGAAUGAUCAGUAGCCUAACACU
ensembl:snoRNA Gm22657 small nucleolar RNA SNORA17